UGUACACAAACCUGUCGAACAUCUCAUACUGUUUCCAAAACCCGUAGUCGAACCUGCACGAAUCCAUCUCCAGCUUACGGUGGAUCUUUCUGUUCAGAGACUCUUUCAGAAACGUCUGUCUUCAACUGCGGCCUGCCUGCAUGUACAGCAACACCACCAAACUUUGGCACCUGCAGCACCACCUGUUCUGGGACAAACGUUGUCUGCAAUAACGGAUAUUGUGUGUGUGACAUCAUGUACGUCAAACUUGGCAGCAGUUGUGUCCAGGAUUGCGGUGGAUCUGGAUAUGGAUCAAGCAUGACGCUCUUUAACAGCACAUUAGCUGUGAACAUCAAGGCUGUCUACAACAUUGAAACAAUAGAGGAAUGCAUCGAUCUGUGCCUGUCAGACUCAAAUUUUCUUUGUAUUACCGCGUAUUAUGAAUUCAAGGUUAAGAUUUGCUUCCUGAGCACAACAGCUUGGUACCGUGUACAACGGUUCUCGAGUUACGGCGGCUCGUUUCAAAUGAUUAUCCGUAAUUGUGCUUAAGGUAUGGUUCCCAUACUUGGAGGUCGUUAUUCGACCAAACGGAUCAUAAUUCUAUCUGCAUGUAAACUGCUGCGUGGUAGAAAAGGGUAGUCACACCCGUAAAGACUAGUAGAAAAGUGAUUACUCUUCAAGGACAUAUGUUAAGCACCUUUAUUACUCACGUGGUAAAUAUACCGGUUGGUUGAUUGUUGUUUAACGCCGCACUCAGCAAUAUUCCAGUUAUAUGGCCACAGUCUGUAAAUAAUCGAGUCU